rnacentral:rRNA from 1 species
GACGAACGCUGGCGGCGUGCUUAACACAUGCAAGUCGAACGGUGAAGCACCUUCCUUUUGGUGGGUGUGGAUGAGUGGCGCACGGGUGAGUAACACGUGAGUAACCUGCCCCCUUCUUCUGGAUAACCGCAUGAAAGUGUGGCUAAUACGGGAUAUUCUGUGCCUGCUGCAUGGUGGGUGUGGGAAAGAUGCGCUUUUGGGUGUUUUUGGUGGGGGAUGGGCUCGCGGCCUAUCAGCUUGUUGGUGGGGUGAGGGCCUACCAAGGCGGUGACGGGUAGCCGUCCUGAGAGGGAGGACGGUCACACUGGGACUGAGACACGGCCCAGACUCCUACGGGAGGCAGCAGUGGGGAAUAUUGCACAAUGGGCGCAAGACUGAUGCAGCGACGCCGCGUGAGGGAUGGCGGUCUUCGGGAUGUAAACCUCUUUCGGUAGGGAAGCAGGACUGUGCCUUGUGGGUGGGUUGACGGUACCUGAAGAAGAAGCGCCGGCUAACUACGUG